GGUUUCCGCCGUGAACCUAACAAGUCACCUGGUUGCUCUGCUCGAUGCGGUACAGCUGCUCUGGGGUGCAUCGCUCCAGGACCGGCUCCAGGAUGUCGAAGGGGACCCC